rnacentral:rRNA from 1 species
UACAGAGGGUGCAAGCGUUGUUCGGAAUUAUUGGGCGUAAAGGGCGCGUAGGCGGUGCUAUAAGGUCUAGGUGGUGAAACUCGUCUGGCUCAACUCAGAGUCUGCCAUAGAAACUGUAGGUGCUAGAGUGUGGGAGAGGUGAGUGGAAUUCCCGGUGUAGCGGUGAAAUGGCGUAGAGUAUCGGGGGGAAACACCGUGUGGCGAAAGGCGGCUCACUGGACCACAACUGG